UACGUAGGGUGCAAGCGUUGUUCGGAAUUACUGGGCGUAAAGCGCACGUAGGCGGCUUUGUAAGUUAGAGGUGAAAGCCCAGGGCUUAACCCUGGAAUUGCCUUUAAGACUGCAUCGCUCGAAUUGUGGAGAGGUGAGUGGAAUUCCGAGUGUAGAGGUGAAAUUCGUAGAUAUUCGGAAGAACACCAGUGGCGAAGGCGACUCACUGGACACAUAUUGACGCUGAGGUGCGAAAGCGUGGGGAGCAAACAGG
rnacentral:rRNA from 1 species